UGGAUGUAUGCAAGUUGUCGAUGACAAAGG
rnacentral:piRNA from 1 species